AUGUGCCUCUGUAGAAACAUUGUCCCUCCCCUUUUACCUUCCACUGCUGAAGUUUUUCUCUUUCACUUUAUUGUCUUUGUGUCGCAGCAGGAUUUUCAGCAGAUUCUUAAACCCAGCAGCUGGUCUGAGUCAGAGAGACAACAUGGAGGAUAAACCAUCAUCAUCCACACCACAUCUGCUGUCAUACAGAGUCAAAAGGAGCAGCGAUGAGGUUGUUCGAUCUUACACACCAGGUCCACCACCUGUGAAGCACAUCAUCAGUCAGAACUUUCUAAGUGUCCCUCAGCCCAUGGCACGCUCAAGCAGCGAUGGAAGUCACCGACCUGAUAUGUAGAUCCAGUUUUCCUCUGGAGAGAAUAUGAAGAGGAGACCAGAGAGAAAGCUGAAGAUUACACAACAACAACUCUGUUAAUGGAUAAAAUCAUCAGUGUUUCUUUUUGGCUCAUUCAGAAACAAAGUAAGGUCAGGUCACAUUGAAGCAUCUAAUAUAAUAAAAUCUAAUAUUACCAUAAAUCAGUCCCUUUGAUACUGAAACAUUGUCCACAGUUAAUACACUCUGAGAUGAUUAGAAAAGAAUAUUAUGGGAUAAUCUGAUAGUUGAUGGUGCCUAAUGAUUUGAUCUUUUACAUGUAUUCAAUUGUUACUGCUUGCUUUUGCACUGAUUAAAGAAACUCAUCUUUAA